rnacentral:rRNA from 1 species
GAUGAACGCUGGCGGCGUGCCUAAUACAUGCAAGUCGAGCGAACGGACGAGACGUUUGCUUCUCUGUUGUUAGCGGCAGACGGGUGUGUCACAUGUGGAUCCUCUCCCUAUAAUACUGGUAUAACUGCGGGAAAGCGGAGCUUAUAGCGGAUAAUCUUCUGAACCGUGUGGUUCAAUAGUGAAAUACGGCCUUUCUGUCACUUCUAGAUGGUUCCGCGCUGCAUUAGCUAGUUGGUAAGGUAACGGCUUACCAAGGCGACGAUGCGUAGCCGACCUGAUAGGGUGAUCGGCCACACUGGAACUGAGACACGGUCCAGACGCCUACGAGAGGCAGCAGUAGGGAAUCUUCCGCAAUAGUCGAAAGCCUGACGGAGCAACGCCGCGUGAGUGAUGAAAGUGUUCGGAUCGUAAAACUCUGUUAUUAGGGAAGAACAUAUGUCGAAGGAACUGAACACAUCUUGACGGUACCGGAUCAGAAAGCCACGGCUAACUACGUG